UACGGAGGGAGCUAGCGUUGUUCGGAAUUACUGGGCGUAAAGCGCACGUAGGCGGCUCUUUAAGUCGGGGGUGAAAUCCUGGAGCUCAACUCCAGAACUGCCUUCGAUACUGAAGAGCUCGAGUCCGGGAGAGGUGAGUGGAACUGCGAGUGUAGAGGUGAAAUUCGUAGAUAUUCGGAGGAACACCAGUGGCGAAGGCGGCUCACUGGUCCAUUACUGACGCUGAGGUG
rnacentral:rRNA from 1 species